UAGCCUGGGCGCAAGGGAGCCAUGAGGGCACCGUCCUCCCCGCUCGCAGCCCAGCUCGCAGCCACCUGUCCCGCUGCCUCCGGCCGGCCCCAGAGCCUCUGCCCCGCGCCCACACACCUCCAGGGCACCCUCGGGAGGAUCCCGGCACCGCCCCGGUUUCCUGGACCUGCUAAACUGACCUGCCAUGAUGAAGCAGCAGCUCAGCGGGACACACUGGCCUAGCAUGCUCCAGGCGCUGGGUCCCAUCCCCAGCACCACAGAAAGAAAACAAGCAGAGGAGCCCUUGCAGGCCACGGAGGGAGACAUGGAGGAAGACAGAUUCCGGGAACCCAGGAACCCAGUCUGCAUAGGUGACCAAACAGGCCCCAGGAAGACAGCUGGGAUACACCCGCAGGAAAGCACAAACGAUGGGUCCCUCCAGAGAUGGGUGAACUGGGGCUGACAGGAGAGGCGGUAAAUGGGGUACUGGGUUGGGGGCCACCCAGUGGGCUGAGGAAAGGGGUCCUUGGCCUGGGGCUUGGCCCAGGGAAGUGGGGAUGGGGCAUGGAGUCCCUAGCCCCACCCAACCUCACCUUCAUGGGCAGGCUGGCACCCAGGUACACCAUGAAGAUGGCCACCGCCUGCCACCAGUGGUAGAUGGUAAAGAUGAAGUCCUGCCUCUCCUUGUCCUCAUACAGGAUUCCCAGGAGUGCUGCAAACAGGCGGAAAGGACAAGCAGGAUGCAGGGGUCACCUGGUGCUGGGGACCUCCCCCUGAGACUCUCCUAGGCCCUGCACUGGUCCCCUCCAUGAGUCCCAGAGCACCCGGGCAGCACUUAUGCCAGUCCUUGCCUGCCCUCUAGAGGAGGCCCUGGUUACCCUGCUGCCCAGGGGAGUUCCAGAGGAGAGCUCUAUGCCCAGAAGUCAUGGCCUAGAUCUCAGGUGCCUAGGGCCAAGAGCAAAGGGACCAGGGAGGGCCAACUAUCCACAGCAACCAACUUUCUACAAAUCGACCCUCAAGUGUGGGAGCAGGGGACUUGUUUCCCAAGGACCCUCCCAGGUGGGGGGAAGAAUACUGACAGGGAGUCAGGGGACUCGGACUUGAGCUUCAGGACUGGAAGGUGGAGGUGGGGGUUCAGAGGUGCAGAAAUGUGGAUAUAAACGUUGGCUCCGAGGGUUAUUUGGGUCAAGUGAGUUUAUGCAUAUUCUAUGCUGUUAGAAGUUCUAAAGAGAACAGGCCAGCCUGGCACCUCACAGGUACUGGGAGAUACUUGCUAUUAACACCUCUGCCAGGCUCAGGGAAUGAACACUCCUGUCCUGGGGCUCAUGGGUGACAUUAAAAACCGUUGAUAGCUCUGGCACACCAGAACAGAUGCCAAUGUGGACUACCCACGUGGCUAGACCCAUGUGUAUCAGUAAUUCCCACUGGCAAUACCCCCUCCAUACAGAGGGCAUCACACAGCUGAACUUGGGCUCACUCUGCCUUCUGCUAAUAGGACCCCUUUCCCCAGUGACUCAUCCCUAGCAGCCCAGACCUGGAGACUGCUAGGCGAUUAGGUUAGGAUUCAUGCCUGUUCCUGUCUCUGCGCCACAAAAAGGCCCAGAUCUGGGGCCAUAUGUAUAUCUCAGUGGUAGAACACUUGGCUAGCACGCAUGAGGCCCUAAGUCAAUCCCCAGCAUCCAGGGGGAAGAAAGAAAGGGCCCAGGUCUACACCUGCAUCCUAGGGUAUGGACAGGGCUACCUGCCACUAAUCCCACUGUGCUGGUCCCUCGAGCAUAGACCCCAUCAUCCAGUGUAUGGAAACUCUAUGAAGGCAGCCCCACCCCUGUGAUGAGGAGGAGGUGUCCCCGCUGUGUUUUCCAAUUUCCCUGAAGGCUGGGCACACCCACCCCAUGUGUCCACAAGAUCUCACCCCAUCCCUUGGUGUCUGCAGGGCUCAGUGCCCACCCUGAAGUAUCAACAGAAUGUCCAUACCCCCAGGGCGUCUGGCUCUUCUUCUUCUAUGCCUCCAGUGUGGGUCUGUGGGAUUUCCUUCCACCCCUGGACUGCCCACCUACCUUUACUUCAUAAAACUCCAUGGCAGAUCCCCUA